UAAAAUUGUUUCAAGAACCGAGAACCGUACUAAAUUGGCACUGAAACAGUGAAAAACCAAACCGGAAUCGUAUCGAAAUUUCGGUUCGGUACUUGUUCUUAUGCAGACUCUGAACUGAACAGGAACUGAACGCUCUUACUACGGCAUUCCUGUUCCAACAGAAUUGCAAUCCUGCACCUGCAAAAAGGGAAUUGCAAUUCUAUAGUCCAUAAAUGCAAUUAUGCUUGCAGAAAUACAGCUUUGCAGUGCUAACUAAUUCCUACUUUCCUAAUUGCGAAGCAUUUGGACCCAUACUUGUAAAACUUCAACUUGUUUCAUAAAUAACAGUCCACAAUGAGCAUGUUAAAAAUUCUAGUGCAAAGACUAACCAUUGAAGGAAAACUAACAAAGGGCAACUUUGAAAUAAUUAGUAGCUACUUUCACUAUGAAAUUAGCAUUAUAAUUUCCUUGUCAACAUGAGAUGCACCAAUUUGUAUUAUAUUCAGCUCUUUCUUAGUUGCCUCAUUAAUGUAUACAGCUUCAGUCUCAACAAAUUCAUCUUGAUUUGUUAAAAUUCAAUCUUGAUAUCCUUAAUUCAAUUCCUCAAGGGUACAUUUAGUAUGAUGAAAUGCAAUGUAAUAUAAUCAGUUAUGUAAUGAAAUGAAUAAUGUAAUGUUAUGUAGUUAUCAUUAUAUUUCUAUGUUUGAUUGUAAAAUAAAAAUAUAAAUAAUGUAGUAUAAUGUUAGUUUUAUUUUAAUAUUUAGUUUAUUUAUAGUGGUAAUAACAAGUUGUAAUGGUUGCGAUAGCUGGUGGUUGGGUGGUCUGGUAGUGGUGGUGAUUGGGUAGGGGUGGGGGUAGUAGCAAUGGUGGUGGUAGUGGCAAUGGCUACAUAGUGGUGGUGGCAGUGGCAGUAGCGAUAGCAAUAGUAGCGAUGCUGGUGGUGGUGGUG
rnacentral:misc_RNA from 1 species